rnacentral:rRNA from 1 species
GAAUAUUGCACAAUGGGCGCAAGCCUGAUGCAGCGACGCCGCGUGGGGGAUGACGGCCUUCGGGUUGUAAACUCCUUUCGCUAUCGACGAAGCCACCUUGGGUGGUGACGGUAGGUAGAUAAGAAGCACCGGCUAACUACGUGCCAGCAGCCGCGGUAAUACGUAGGGUGCAAGCGUUGUCCGGAAUUACUGGGCGUAAAGAGCUCGUAGGUUGUUUGUCGCGUCGUCUGUGAAAUCCCGGGGCUUAACUUCGGGCGUGCAGGCGAUACGGGCAUAACUUGAGUGCUGUAGGGGAGACUGGAAUUCCUGGUGUAGCGGUGAAAUGCGCAGAUAUCAGGAGGAACACCGAUGGCGAAGGCAGGUCUCUGGGCAGUAACUGACGCUGAGGAGCGAAAGCAUGGGUAGCGAACA